UACAGAGGGGGCAAGCGUUGUUCGGAAUUACUGGGCGUAAAGGGCGCGUAGGCGGCCUGAUAAGUCGGGGGUGAAAUCCUGUGGCUUAACCACAGGGCUGCCUCCGAGACUGUCGGGCUCGAGCACAGUAGAGGCAGGUGGAAUUCCCGGUGUAGCGGUGGAAUGCGUAGAGAUCGGGAAGAACAUCGGUGGCGAAGGCGGCCUGCUGGGCUGUUGCUGACGCUGAGGCGCGACAGCGUGGGGAGCAAACAGG
rnacentral:rRNA from 1 species